rfam:Lactobacillus oeni DSM 19972 NODE_96, whole genome shotgun sequence.
CCACAACUGCAACCGCACGCAAUCAGUCAAGCAAGAAAUUAUCAAGCUGAAAUUGAUAAUUCACUAAAUUGCGGCGAGUCUAAGUAAGUUU